ensembl:miRNA
AGAACAUAAUCUCUCAGUUGCAUGUGUUUCCUGCAUGCAUGCACUGAGAGAUUAUGUUCU